rnacentral:rRNA from 1 species
UGGGGAAUUUUGGACAAUGGGGGAAACCCUGAUACAGCCAUCCCGCGUGUGCGAUGAAGGCCUUCGGGUUGUAAAGCACUUUUGGCAGGAAAGAAACGUCAUGGGUUAAUACCCCGUGAAACUGACGGUACCUGCAGAAUAAGCACCGGCUAACUACGUGCCAGCAGCCGCGGUAAUACGUAGGGUGCAAGCGUUAAUCGGAAUUACUGGGCGUAAAGCGUGCGCAGGCGGUUCGGAAAGAAAGAUGUGAAAUCCCAGAGCUCAACUUUGGAACUGCAUUUUUAACUACCGGGCUAGAGUGUGGCAGAGGGAGGUGGAAUUCCGCGUGUAGCAGUGAAAUGCGUAGAUAUGCGGAGGAACACCGAUGGCGAAGGCAGCCUCCUGGGAUAACACUGACGCUGAUGCACGAAAGCGUGGGGAGCAAACAGG